rnacentral:rRNA from 1 species
AGAGUUUGAUCCUGGCUCAGAAUGAACGCUGGCGGCGUGCUUUACACAUGCAAGUCGAGCGGAGUCUUUCCCAAGGGGCAACCCGAGGGGAAGGCUCAGCGGCAAACGGGUGAGUAAUGGACAGGUAACGUACCCCCAAGACGUGGAUAGCUCAUCGAAAGAUGAGAUAAUACGCGAUGAUGUUGCAGGGCGGUGGCUCUGCAAAGAAAGCGGGCGCAAGCCCGCGCUUCCGGAUCGGCCUGUCUCCUAUCAGCUAGUUGGUGGGGUAAGGGCCUACCAAGGCGAUGACGGGUAGCUGGUCUUAGAGGAUGGUCAGCCACAUUGGAACUGCGACACGGUCCAGACUCCUACGGGAGGCAGCAGUGGGGAAUCAUGGUCAAUGGGCGAAAGCCUGAACCUGCGACGCCGCGUGAGUGAUGAAGGUCGUAAGAUCGUAAAACUCUUUUCAGGGAUCUUAAAGCCUGUCCGUCAACAACGGGCAGGUGUGACUCUCCCUGGAAUAAGCCCCAGCCAACUACGUGCCAGCAGCCGCGGUAAU